CAGGUCUGAUGGCUACCGGGCGGUGGAUCCACCAAAACACUAUCUCGGAGAGGACCAGGCAGACAUCACUCCUCCUCGUCCCUUGAAUCCAGGCUCCUUCCAUUUGAAAGCCUGGCACGAAGAUUUCCACCUGUCACUGAAUCAGACUCACAUCUUUACCCCCAGCAAAGGGAUGACAACAAGCAAAAAGAAAGUUCCCUUGCUACCUUGGACUGCCUGUGAAUGGAUUGAGAGGCAGCAGCCACUCUGGCACCAGCACCAGCUGGUUGACACCAGCAGUACUAAGACCAUCAUUUAACUCAUUCUUGUCUGUGAGGAUGACAAAGGCAGGUCCUAAUUGUGAAUUUUCCCAUGGACGCUUCUGGCUCAAGGAGGUACAGAUAAAAAUCUAUCGAGGGGGUCUUUUUUUUAAAUUUUUUUAUUUAUUUAUGAUAGAGAGAGAGAGAGAGAGGCAGAGACACAGGCAGAGGGAGAAGCAGGCUCCAUGCACCGGGAGCCUGAUGUGGGAUUCGA